rnacentral:lncRNA from 1 species
GCCUGCCCUCCAUGACUCUCAACCUUGAAUAGGAAUGGGGGAGUCAGAAGAAAUCCAAAGCAGUUCUAGGAAAUUGAGUGCCACAUUCUUUUCUGCACGCCUGAGAGUAUGUCUUAUGCACCUUUGCAUGCCCCAUUCCUGACACUACGACUCCCAUGAGUUGUCCAAAGAAAAUAAUUCAAAGGACUCAAAUAGAGGUUAAAGGCUUCAUUCAGCUGAUGAGGUCAGGGAGCACCUGAAGGCCAGCCAGGUAUAAAAUGAUGUGAUCAGACUACCAGAGCUCAAGAAGUCCCCAGUGAUCAAGGCUGAGCAGGAGGAAUGAGCAGAAGCUCACAGAAUUGGCGUGUAUCUCUAGCUUGAUGAAGCAGUCAUUUAAUACAGGGCAUUUCAUGUGAUCUCAGAAAGGAGAGCAGAGUCCCGGUCCCCUAAGAGCAAGCUCUCCCCCUCCUCCACUACUGUGCCCUCCGGCUUCAGAGAGGGAAAGCUUCAUACCUUAAGAUUGCUCCCAG